CGAAUUCAAGAUUACAGAUGAAAGUUGUGGGGUUGAAUGGCGUUUUGUUUUUGAGACUUGAGAUGAAAGUUGGCGUGUCUUUUUUACAUUUAAGUGAAAGGGGCUUUUGCAUGAAAUUCUUUAAUUAAACAUCUGUGCCUAAUAAAAGAUGGCAUCUACAUGGUGCAUGUGCUAACAUGGAUAGAGGAAAACAGGUACGAGAUGACAAAUUGUUCUACCUUUCCAGAAGAGGUGUUCAUGUACUGCAGGAUGGCUC
rnacentral:lncRNA from 1 species